CUUCCGAGGAGCGUUGCAGCGCCGCCCGACACGAGGUGGCGCGAGGCUCGGAUUCCAUUUGCAACGACGCUCGCCCACG
rnacentral:ncRNA from 2 species